rnacentral:misc_RNA from 1 species
UCAAAUGCCGGGACUAAACACCUAGGUGAUGAAAGGCAAAAAUUGAAUCCGAUUGCCGCGAGCGAACUCCCCGUCGCGGCGCACGCCGCAACACUGAGCCAACGUCGCCUUUAGUUAUGGAAAUCUCGAGGCGUGGCAAGGCCGUGCUCGUCGACGACAUCAUUUCAAGCGGGCGCACGAUGAUCGAAGCCGUUCGGCUGC